rnacentral:lncRNA from 1 species
UAAUGAUUUUUAUUUUUUCCAUUAUAGCUGCUUUACAGUAUUCUGUCAGUUUUCUACUGUACAGCAAGGUGACCCAGUUACACAUACAUGUAUACAUUCUUUUUUCCUGCAUUAUCAUGCUCCAUCGUAAAUUACUAGAUAUAGUUCCCAGUGCUAUACAGCAGGAUCUCAUUGCUUAUCCAUUCCAAAGGCAAUAGUUUGCAUCUAUUAACCCCAGACUCCCAGUCCAUCCCACUCCCUCCCCUCCCCUUUUGCAAGCACAAGUCUAUUCUCCAUGUCCAUGAUUUUCUUUUUUGUGGAAAGGUUCAUUUGUGCCAUAUAUUAGAUUCCAGAUAUAAGUGAUAUCAUAUGGUAUUUGUCUUUUUCUUUCUGACUUACUUCACUUAGUAUGAGAGUCUCUAGUUCUAUCCAUGUUGUUGCAAAUGGCAUUAGUUUCUUUUUUAUUGCUGCAUAGUAUUCCAUUGUGUAUAAGUACCAUAUCUUCUUAAUCCAAUCAUAUGUUGAUGGACAUUUAUGUUGUUUCCAUGUCUUGGCUAUUGUGAAUAGUGCUGCAAUGAACAUACGGGUACAUGUGUCUUUUUCCAGGAAAGUUUUGUCUGGCUAUAUGCCCAAGAGUAGGAUUGCUGUGUAUAGUUUUCUAAAGUACCUCCAUACUGUUUUCCAUAGUGGUUGUACCAAUUUACAUUCCCACCAACAGUGUAGGAGGGUUCCCUUUUCUCCAUGCCCUCUCCAGGAAUUGUUUUGUGGACUUAUUAAUGAUGGCCAUUCUGACAGGUAUGAGGUGGUACCUCAUAGGUUUUUUUGAUUUACAUGUCUCUAAUAAUCAGUGAUGUUGAGCAUUUUUUCAUGUGCCUGUUGGCCAUCUGUAUAUCUUUUUUGGAUAAAUGUCUAUUCAGGUCUUUUGCCCAUUUUUCCAUUGGGUUGUUGGCUUUUUUGCUGUUGAGUUGUAUAAGUUGUGUGUAUAUUUUUGUCAGUUGCAUUAUUUGAAACUAUUUUCUCACAUUCUAUAAAUUGUCUUUUUUUUUAUGGUUUCCUUUGCUGUGCAAAAGUUUGUCAGUUUGAUUAGGUCCCAUUGGUUUAUUUUUACUUUAUUUCUGUUGCUUUGGGAGACUGACCUGAGAACACACUUGUAAGGUUGAUAUCAGAGAAUGUUUUGCCUAUGUUCUCUUCUAGUUUGAUGGUGUCUUGUCUUACAUUUAAGUCUUUAAGCAAUUUUGAGUUUAUUCUUGUGGAUGGUGUGAGGGUGCACAUUAUCCAAUAUUUUAAUCUUUUAUCUAGCAUUAUUUUGUGUUACAAAUUCAUUCUCAAGGAGUUCUUUUAGUGAGAGUCAGGUGGAGAUAAUUCUCUCAGGUUUUUUUUUUUUGGCAUAGUCUAACUGGGACCACUUCCAUAUAAAUUUUUAACUUGGAAAUUUUCAGGCCACACAAUUAAUAUAAAUCUCAAUCCUAUAUCCAUCUGAAGUCUGGCCUGAAGAUAAAUUUUCGCUGGAAGCUUUGUGGUAUGUAUUUACCUGCCUGAGUAGAAGCUGAAAAAAGCAAAUAUACUUAUGAUUGGGGAUUGGGGAAGACUAGAAAUGGGAUUUUUUUCUUUUUUCUGGUUCACCUGUUCACGGAAGAUGUUUCUUUUCAGUACUCUCCACUUUAUGUAGGAAUCUCUGACCUUUCACCUUGUUCUGUUUUGUAAGAAGUCACAAGUUUUGUUAAAAUUGAAGCUCUGAGGUACCUGGGUUUGAUGAAGCCUCCAGAAAUAGGUAAAUGCCCCCAGAGCAGCACCAUCUUCACUCAAAUGCCUUUCUGGAUUUCUAGCUCUCCAUUUUUUUGGCUUAGCUUUUCCUUCAUUUUCUUGCUGGCUCAAUGGUGCAUUUAAAGAGCCUUUAAAAAAUACUUUUUCAAGCAUUUGUAAGUGUUGCAUGCAGGGACAGCUUUUAAGGAUCUACUCUGCAUCUUUCUAGAACCAAUGCAUUCCACUCUUAAUAACUUGCACAUGGCAGCCAGAAGGACUACUUGUCUUCUAUCCCUAUAACUCACCAAGCUGAAUGACUUUGAAUACCUCUGUAAACCUCAGUUUUCUGCUUCCUUAUCUGCUGACUCUUUAUUAGAUCCCUUAAAAGAGAAAUCUUUUCAAUUUAUAUAACCUCCUUCCCGGAAGAGAUUUAGCAUUUUUGAUAAACCCCUUAAAUUUCUGGGGAAUUUUAAUGAGAUUAAGACUUGUAGGAAACAAAUUUGACUAACAGCUAAAAGUCUCAGUCUAAAAAUAACUAUGCAUUUUUUUAUCUGUAUACUCUAUAUCUUUUCUUUUUCUCUGUAAAUACCCUUAUCAAGAGCGAAUCUUUGAAUUGGAUUUCCACAGGGUUUUUUCUUUUGCAAUAAGAGAUCUAAAUCUAUGAUAUGCUCAUAACUUAAUAGUUUGAAAAGUUUUCAUUAACAAAUCUUUAACUUAAAAAAAUAAAUAAAUGAAUUACUUGGGAGUUCUCUUGGCACAGCCAGUUAAGGAUGUGACAUUGUUACUGCAGUGGCUCAGGUCACUACUGUGGCUCAGUUAGAUCCUUGGCCUGCGAACUUCCACAUGCCACAGGCAUGGGCAAAAAGCAAAAAUAAAAACAAACAAAAAAGAAUUACCUUUGUUUUCAACUUUCAGCUCUAAGUUUAGGGGCACUAUAAACAAAUCAGACCAUCUUAGUUUCUACUGGAAAAAGUAAGAUAUUCUUGAACUGCAAGGAUAAAUAUUACCUUCAGAAAGAACUUUAAAAAAAGCGCAAAAUUGAAAACAACAAUGCAUGAAAAAUUUAAAUAGAAAUGUUAAUAACAGACUUAUGAGUUUUACUUGCAUUUCCUGUUGAUAUACAAAUUUGGAAAUUGUUCUGGCCAAGGCAUUCCCCCUCCAACUUUCAUCCUUAUGUUAUAGGAGAAAUGUAUUGAAUUUUUAAUGCACAUGGCUCCAUCUGAAGAAACAGGACUGGCUACAUGAAAAAAAGAAAAGACUUUUCUAACUCAUUUUAAUUCAGUUUUAAUUAUGUAAGGUUGAAAUAACAUUUUGGUGAUUUAGCUGAAAAGUAAUAAAAAUUAAGCCCUGGAGUAUUAGAAAAUCUAGAUUUCUCACUGACUGAAUUUUAUAAGUCACCUUUGUAUACUUCAAUGUUUUCUGUGCAGUGAGAAUAACGGUAACUCAACAUUUGAGUCAAAAUGAACUGGGUUGAAAUUUCUAGCAGUUGAAUCUGAGCUCCUUAUGCUUAUUUGUGGGGUAAUUAUAUCCAUAUUGUAAUAUUGUUGUGAGGAUUAAGUAGUGUCUAAAACAAGCACCAAGAGAGAGUAAAUAAUAGAGAUAGGAAGCAAGUACUUUUAAAGUCUAUACAUCAGAUUUCUUUAUGUUAAUGUAAUUAUUUAAUGAUUAACUUUUUAAAAUGUCUCCGUUGUAUUCCAAUUACUAUUUCAUUAGCAAGAAUCACUUUUUCUCCUUGCUUUUCAGCUUUAUCUACUGUGAAAAGGAUGCAACAUUUGUCAGUGCAAGGGGACUUCUCUCAAGCAGUGAGUUAUUCUGAUGUUAAGUUCAGGAAAACCCACCUGUAUUUCAGUAUGAAUUCCCCAGGAUGUGUGUGUGUGUGUGUAUGUGUGUGUGUGUGUGUGUGUGCGCGCACGCGCGCGCGCACGCGCGCGCUCCUGCGUUUGCAAAUAUACAAGGAGAAAAGGGAACAAUGUUAAAUCUACUUAUACACUUGGCAUUGAUUAAUUGAACCAAAAAUCAUGGAAGCAAAAAAAUUAGGAGAGGAUUAGUUCUUCAGAGUUUAUAGCUGCUAAAGGGAGUUUUUAUAAAGGAUUCGACUUUGAGCAAAAAAUAUUUUGUUUUUUAUGCCCUUGAGAAGGAAUUGCAUGUGUUACAUGAAAAUGGUAUGCUGCUUGGCUGCAUUAAAAUGACAAGGGUCCAGCAGACACAUCAUAGCUAAUUUUAGUAGGCAGAGCAGACACACUUGAGCUUAUUUUUCUCUGACUCUCACUCCCCAUCCCAACCCCUCAGGUACACACAUUACAAGAUUCCCUAGAGUGAGAAGGUGGGAGUGGAGAGUUUCAGUACUGAAGGUAGUAGCUCUGGAUAUCAUACUGAUCUCAUUAAG